rnacentral:rRNA from 1 species
CAAAACAGUGAUGUGGAGGCAAAACUCAAAAANACGGUCUCAGUUCGGACUGAAGGCUGAAAUUCGCCUUCACGAAGUCGGAAUUGCUAGUAAUGGCAGGUCAGCAUACUGCCGUGAAUACGUUCCCGGGCCUUGUACACACCGCCCGUCACACCAUGAGAGUUGAGAAUACCCGAAGCCCAUGUCAAAGUGGUCGAAGGUAGGCUUGAUGAUUGGGGUGAAGUCGUAACAAGGUACC